UACGUAGGGUGCAAGCGUUGUCCGGAAUUAUUGGGCGUAAAGAGCUCGUAGGCGGUCUGUUGCGUCGGCUGUGAAAACCCGAGGCUCAACUUCGGGCCUGCAGCCGAUACGGGCAGACUAGAGUUCGGCAGGGGAGACUGGAAUUCCUGGUGUAGCGGUGAAAUGCGCAGAUAUCAGGAGGAACACCAAUGGCGAAGGCAGCUCGCUGGGACGUGACUGACGCUGAGGCGCGAAAGCGUGGGGAACAAACAGG
rnacentral:rRNA from 1 species